GCGAGAGAAUUCUAAGAGCACCUUCUGCAAGGACCUGUCCUUGUCAGCGGCAGCAGAGAGGCAGGAGUGCUGUGGAGCUGGCUUCUGCUUCUCUCCUGUCUCCAGAGGAGGCUCUCCCUCUGGGGCUGGCUCCGGCUGCAGAGCAGGCCCAUGGUGUUCUGGUCGUGGAGCCGGAGCUAGGAGGAGGAAAGCUCAGCAGUGUCAGUCCCUCGCCAGUUCCCUGCGGAGCCUAGAAAAGACAUCCUGGCCAUUUGGGGGAUUCCAAUGCCCAACCAAAAGCCAUGAAAGCCUUCCGGACUGCUGUGGCCCUCACCAUCUGUGUCGGCCUCGUGGGGCUCUAGAUAUUCCACCUGAGCAAGGGGACGGCACAAGGGAGGCUCCAUGUCUGCUCCAGAACAAACGUGAAGAAUGUCAUUUGAAAUGAUGGAAAUGAGAGCCUUCUCAUCUUGGGAAAUCAUCUGUGAGCUGCUACGGCCCGAGGGAAGCCUGGAAUAGAUAAGAGAAGUUGAAAAGGAUGCAUAUGCUGCUGUUGGGAUGGGAGAGCCCAAUGCCUGUUGUGCCUACGAGGAAGAAAAGGAGCAAGCUAAAGUGGGCUGACUAAGGCUGAAGAACCUCUGCUAGGACCCUUGCCAUGGCUGAAGAGAAAGGCUGAGGCAACGGAUGGACACGGGUAUGAAUGGCCAAAGACUUUUGCCAUGGAGACGACCGGGUCCUGAGCAGACAGCAAGCAAUAUUGUCAGUGUCUUGAGAUCAGCAAAGCAGCAGAGGUCUUGGGGCAGAAGGACUGCAGCUUGCAGACUAAGACAGCCCUACGCACCAGUGAGGUCACAAUGGGCCGCCCUUGCUAGCUGGGGAAGAAAUCCCACGAGGACAGGACGUGACUGGGCGCUGUGUGGUGGCUGAGCAGCAGGGGAGUCAGGCCCUCCCAGAGACCGAUCGAGCCUUCCUAGAGCUCGUGGAAGGCUCAGGACCCCACGGGUCUUGCCAGGUCAGGAGCUCUAGUGUGGCUCAGGUGGGCCCACACCCUCAGGCCGAGGUGGGCACAGGUGCGGCCGGGAAGCUGCCGGGGCCUUGUGGAGAGCGUCGGACACAGGCAGAGCCACUCCUGCACCCACACAACGUACUGUUUUUGACCACACACCUGGGGCAGGGGCCUAGACCCGUCCAGGACUCACCGGGGGCUGCCCCACCGCGUCUCCAGAACCUCCCCAAGAGCCAAGGUUGGACCUGCCCCCGAGAGGUGUCACUCACGUGCCGUGCAGGUGUCAAGGGCAGGACCUCGAGGGGAGUGACUUGGUCACCGAGACACGCUUACGGGGCGCACACAAGUUAACCGAGGAGAGGUUUAUCUCGGCUCGCACUUGGGAGAGGUUUCAGUCCCUAGUCAGCAGCUCAAAGGCAGCGCGGCAUGGCGGAGGGGCCUGGCAGACAGAAAGCAGAGUCCAGGGAGCAGAGGCAGCGAGAUGAAGGCUCCCAGGCCCUGAACCAGGCGAUUUCUCUCAGCCCAGAUCCCACCUCCUGUCAACCCAGGUGUACCACGCCCAUGAGGCAAUCACCUCCCAGAGGCGGCUUGUGAGUGCGUGAGGCUGUGCGGACAGAGCAGGCGGGGCGUGCAGUGACACCGAGCGGCCACCGGAG
ensembl:lncRNA